rnacentral:tRNA from 1 species
GCCGGUGUAGCUCAGUUGGUAGAGCGUUUCUCUUGUAAAGAAAAUGUCGCGGGUUCGAUUCCUGUCACCGGCUCGA